rnacentral:rRNA from 1 species
AUGCGGAUUUUGAGUUUGACAUGCAGCUCCUCCGCUUGUGAGAGGAAUUUUAGUGUUUUUCAGCAGAUUCACACAAAGAAACGCAACAGGCUGCUUCAUAAUAAAAUGAGAGACCUUGUUUUUAUCAAGUUCAACUCCAAACUCAAACAGAAGAGAAAGAUGAAAAACAGGGACCCGAUUGUGGACCACACAUUUGUAGAUGUUGUAGAAGAUGAAGAUAAUGAGUGGAUCACAGGUAUUGUGCCUCAUGAACCUGGUGAAGUUGUAGAAGUUGCAGCAUCAACAUCACAAGGAGCAGUUGGUGCAUCAAAAAGAAAGAGAGCGUCCCAAUCUCGCCCUCGGAAGAAGAAAAAACUGCUCCCUGUUUUUCGUGAAGAUGAGUUGGAGUCAGCUAGUUCUUCUUCUGAAUCGGAAGAUGAUACCAUGCAUUCACCAUCUGGUUCAUCAAAUGAGAGUGAUUCUGAAUAA